GUCGUCGACGACGAAGAUCUCAUCUCCUACAUCAUUGCUGGCCUCGAAGAUACAUAUGAGCCGAUGAUCUCUUCCAUCGUUGGCAAGUCUGAGCCAAUGUCUUUUGGGGAGGCUUUCUCUCAACUGCUCAGUUUUGAGC
rfam:Oryza brachyantha chromosome 1, whole genome shotgun sequence.